rnacentral:rRNA from 1 species
UAGGGAAUCUUCCACAAUGGACGAAAGUCUGAUGGAGCAACGCCGCGUGAGUGAUGAAGGGUUUCGGCUCGUAAAACUCUGUUGUUGGAGAAGAACGGGUGUCAGAGUAACUGUUGACAUCGUGACGGUAUCCAACCAGAAAGCCACGGCUAACUACGUGCCAGCAGCCGCGGUAAUACGUAGGUGGCAAGCGUUGUCCGGAUUUAUUGGGCGUAAAGCGAGCGCAGGCGGUUUUUUAGGUCUGAUGUGAAAGCCUUCGGCUUAACCGGAGAAGUGCAUCGGAAACCGGGAGACUUGAGUGCAGAAGAGGACAGUGGAACUCCAUGUGUAGCGGUGAAAUGCGUAGAUAUAUGGAAGAACACCAGUGGCGAAGGCGGCUGUCUGGUCUGCAACUGACGCUGAGGCUCGAAAGCAUGGGUAGCGAACAGGAUUAGAUACCCUGGUAGUCCAUGCCGUAAACGAUGAGUGCUAAGUGUUGGAGGGUUUCCGCCCUUCAGUG